rnacentral:rRNA from 1 species
GUGGGGAAUUGUUCGCAAUGGGCGCAAGCCUGACGACGCAACGCCGCGUGGAGGAUGAAGAUCUUCGGGUCGUAAACUCCUUUCGAUCGAGACGAACGGCCCCUGGGUUAACAGCCUGGGGGAGUGACGGUACCGAGAGAAGAAGCCCCGGCUAACUCCGUGCCAGCAGCCGCGGUAAUACGGGGGGGGCAAGCGUUGUUCGGAAUUACUGGGCGUAAAGGGCUCGUAGGCGGCCAACUAAGUCAUGCGUGAAAUCCCUCGGCUUAACCGGGGAACUGCGUCUGAUACUGGAUGGCUUGAGUUCGGGAGAGGGAUGCGGAAUUCCAGGUGUAGCGGUGAAAUGCGUAGAUAUCUGGAGGAACACCGGUGGCGAAGGCGGCAUCCUGGACCGAUACUGACGCUGAGGAGCGAAAGCCAGGGGAGCAAACGGGAUUAGAUACCCGGGUAGUCC